AGCCAGACUCCUACGGAGGCAGCAGUGGGGGAUAUUGCACAAUGGGGGAAACCCUGAUGCAGCGACGCCGCGUGGGCGAAGAAGCGCCUCGGCGCGUAAAGCCCUGUCAGCAGGGAAGAAAAUGACGGUACCUGAAGAAGAAGCCCCGGCUAACUACGUGCCAGCAGCCGCGGUAAUACGUAGGUGACAAGCGUUGUCCGGAUUUACUGGGUGUAAAGGGCGCGUAGGCGGACUGUCAAGUCAGUCGUGAAAUACCGAAGCUUAACUUCGGGGCUGCGAUUGAAACUGACAGCCUUGAGUAUCGGAGAGGAAAGCGGAAUUCCUAGUGUAGCGGUGAAAUGCGUAGAUAUUAGGAGGAACACCAGUGGCGAAGGCGGCUUUCUGGACGACAACUGACGCUGAGGCGCGAAAGUGUGGGGAGCAAACAGGAUUAGAUACCCGCGUACA
rnacentral:rRNA from 1 species